rnacentral:rRNA from 1 species
ACGAACGCUGGCGGCAGGCCUAACCCAUGCAAGUCGAGCGAGGACUUCGGUUCUAGCGGCGGACGGGUGAGUAACGCGUGGGAAUGUGCCCUUCUCUACGGAAUAGCCCUGGGAAACUGGGAGUAAUACCGUAUACGCCCUAUUGGGGAAAGAUUUAUCGGAGAAGGAUCAGCCCGCGUUGGAUUAGGUAGUUGGUGGGGUAAUGGCCUACCAAGCCGACGAUCCAUAGCUGGUUUGAGAGGAUGAUCAGCCACACUGGGACUGAGACACGGCCCAGACUCCUACGGGAGGCAGCAGUGGGGAAUCUUAGACAAUGGGGGCAACCCUGAUCUAGCCAUGCCGCGUGAGUGAUGAAGGCCUUAGGGUUGUAAAGCUCUUUCAGCUGGGAAGAUAAUGACGGUACCAGCAGAAGAAGCCCCGGCUAACUCCGUG